rnacentral:lncRNA from 1 species
AUCUAGCCAAGCAGUGGUGGUGCACACUUUUAGUCCCAGCACUUGGGAGGCAGAGGCAGGCAGAUAGGUCUCUGAGUCCAAGGCCAGCCUGAUCUACUACAAAGCAAGUUGUAGGACAGCAGGACAGCCAGAGCCGUUACACGUAGAAACCCUGUCUUGAAAAAACAAAAAAGAAAAAGAAAACUGCACGCACGUGUGUGUGUGUGUGUGUGUGUGUGUGUGUGUGUGUGUGUGUGUGUGUCUGCAUGUACAUACAACAGGUGAGGUGAUAUCUGAGCCAGAAUUGGAUGUCAGCUGUGUUGGAGCUGCCAUAACAGGUAGUUGUAAGCCUCUGGGGUGAAUGAUGGAAAUAAAAUUUGGGUCCUCUGGAAGAGAAGCAAGAACUCCCAACUGCUGAGUCAUCUUCCGGCGGUCUCAUACUUAAUUUUAUGAGUAGUCACAGAAUGAGAGGCCUUGGAAAUUAAAAGUAUGAGUGUUUAUGCCAAAAAAAAAAAUGCAAUGCAAGAUCCUGGGUUAGAUGUAUAAAAAAUGCUCCAGAGAUUACUAAUGGCUAAAAGUCAUCACUGAUAGACCAGUGGCAGAUGUAGUAGUGUGAAUGAAAGUGGCCCCCCAAAGGGAGUGACACUAUUAGGAGGUGUGGCCUUGUUGCAGGAAGUGUGCCACUGUGGGGGCGGGCUUUGAGGUCUCAUAUGCUCAAGCCACACCCAGUGUUUCAGUCUACUUCCUGUUGCCUGCAUAUAAACAUGCAGCAGCUCAUUCUCCAGCACCAUGUCUGUCUGCACACCGCCAUGCCCAUAAUGGACUGAACCUCAGACACUGUGAGCUUCCCCUCAAUGAAAUGUUUUCCUUUAUUAGAUCUGCCAUGGUCAUGGUGUCUCUUCACAGCAACCGAAACCCUAAGACAGUAGAUUACUGUAGAAUCAUUUCUUGGUCACUGCUGUGAAACAGGAUAAAAUGUGGGGUGGGGGCAUCGUGCCUGGACCAACUUGUAAAAUGGCUCAGGAAUGACCAAGAGACAGAACAGCAAGCUGGAUUGUUUCUCCCCCCGGAGACAGGGUUUCUCUGUGUAGCUUUGGAGCCUAUCCUGGCACUCGCUCUGGAGACCAGGCUGGCUUUGAACUCACAGAGAUCCACCUGCCUCUGCCUCCUGAGUGCUGGGAUUUAAGGUGUGCACCACCAUCACUGGGUGCAAACUGUUUUUAUAAGGUGUUUCAAAACAGUUAAAUUUGCCAGAUGAUGGUAGCACAUGCCUUUAAUCCCAGUACUCAGGAGGCAGACGCAGGUGAUCUCUGAAUUCAAGGGCAACCUGGUCUACAUAGUAAGUUCCAGAACAUACACAGGGAGACCUUGUCUUGAAACAAGCAAACAGACAAAACAACAGGAAGACUUAGAGGAAAAAAAGGUGGGGGGCUGGAGACAGGAUCAGCUGAGCUGUUGAGGGCACUGACUCAUCUUCCAGCAGAUCCAAGCUCAGUUCCCAGCACCCACAUGGCAGCUCACAAUAGCUUGUAACUCCACCGCCAGAGGAUUCAAUAUCCUAUUCUAGCCCCGACAGCACCUGCAUCCACACAACACACACAUACACAAAUGCUUUUUUUUUUUUUUAAUGAAAAGCUCCACAAAAUGGCUAGAAGUCAAGGAAACAUUCGCAUACCCAUGCCAUUAAAAGGACAAUGAGAGGCCUGGAGAGAUGGCUCAGAGGUUAAGGGCACUGGCUGCUCUCCCAGAGGGCCCUGGUUCAAUUCCCAGCACCCACCUGGCAGCUCACAACUGUCUGUAACCUCACACAGACAUACAAUUGGGCAAAACACUAAUGUAUAUAAAAUACAAAUAAAUAAUUUUUUAAAAAGACAAUGGGACUAGCCUACAGAAUGAGUUCCAGGACAGGACAGCCAGGAAUGUUAUACAUAGAAAUCCUGUCUGGGAGAAAACAAAACAAAACAAAACAAAAAACCAAAAAAAGACAAUGAGGCAAGAUAGUGCACGCCUUUGAUCCCAGCACUCGGGAGGCAGAGGCAGGCGGAUCUCUGUGAGUUCGAGGCCAGCCUGGUCUCCAGAGCGAGUUCCAGGACAGCCUCCAAAGCCACAGAGAAACCCUGUCUCGGGAAAAAAAAAAAAAAAUCAAGCACGAAAGAUAAAGAAGAGAAAGAAAAAUAAAACCUUUGACUCGGUGGGGAGAUCAGGUGUGUGUGGAGGGUCUCGGAGUCCUAACCUCCACUCCAGGCCACAUCCGGCUCUGUGACCUUGUCUACUGUGAAUCACGCCUUUUCUUUUCUGAGAAAUGAUGGUUGUUAGGUGGCUCGAUGACAGUAUGACCCGGUGACACCCAGGAAUCACAAGGCAAGGCAGCCGGGGACACACCUCUCCCCUAGUAAACAGACAACCCGGGUCACGGGGCGCCUGUGCUUUGGGGUCCCUGCGCGUGUAUCUGCUCCUAGAUGUGCGAGCGGCUGGUCCUAUCGCAUCUGUUCUUUGUUUUCGCAUUUGUUCUGGGUGCUGGCUGUCCCAGCGCCACCUCCUGCCGUGCGUGCGUCAGCCCCGCUGAGGUCACCCGCUGCCCUGCCUUGGCUACGCGGGCACAGAUGACUCAGCGGCGGGCGAACAGCCCUGCGUGGUUACGGCUUCGGGGUCCUUCUCGCCUUGGAGGUGGGGUGACUUGGAACCGCAGGUGAGUUGAACCCUCUCAGUAAGUGUCAGCGGCGGGAGCCCCCUGGCUGUCCGCACGGGAAUGGCACGAGCCAGCCAGACCCGCCUUGCGCAUGGCCCGUGCCCGGGGCGCCAUCUGCUGGGCCCCGGACUGCAAGCUCGAGCCCCGGGAAGCGUCCCUGCCUUCUGCCCGCGUCUCAGCGAGGGGAGGCGAAGCCGGGGCAGUGCCUCGCUUUCCUCCUGCCUGCGGC